CGUGUAGGCGGCUAGUCAAGUCCGAUGUGAAAUCUCGGGGCUCAACCCCGAAACUGCAUUGGAAACUGGCUUGCUAGAGUCCGGAAGAGGAGAUUGGAAUUCCUGGUGUAGCGGUGAAAUGCGCAGAUAUCAGGAAGAACACCCGUGGCGAAGGCGGAUCUCUGGGACGGUACUGACGCUGAGACGCGAAAGCGUGGGGAGCGAACAG
rnacentral:rRNA from 1 species